rnacentral:tRNA from 1 species
GCGGGUGUAGUUCAAUGGUAGAACAUUUGCUUCCCAAGCAAAAUACGCGGGUUCGAUUCCCGUCACCCGCUCCA